AGUGAACGCUGGCGGUAGGCCUAACACAUGCAAGUCGAACGGCAGCACAGUAAGAGCUUGCUCUUACGGGUGGCGAGUGGCGGACGGGUGAGGAAUACAUCGGAAUCUACUUUUUCGUGGGGGAUAACGUAGGGAAACUUACGCUAAUACCGCAUACGACCUACGGGUGAAAGCAGGGGAUCUUCGGACCUUGCGCGAUUGAAUGAGCCGAUGUCGGAUUAGCUAGUUGGCGGGGUAAAGGCCCACCAAGGCGACGAUCCGUAGCUGGUCUGAGAGGAUGAUCAGCCACACUGGAACUGAGACACGGUCCAGACUCCUACGGGAGGCAGCAGUCGGGAAUAUUGGACAAUGGGCGCAAGCCUGAUCCAGCCAUACCGCGUGGGUGAAGAAGGCCUUAGGGUUGUAAAGCCCUUUUGUUGGGAAAGAAAAGCAGCAGGUUAAUACCCCGCUGUUCUGACGGUACCCAAAGAAUAAGCACCGGCUAACUUCGUG
rnacentral:rRNA from 1 species